UUAAGAACCUGGCAGGGAACCGUCGGUGAUCAGGAGGGCCGAGGUUCCAGGUCGAGGCUAUCCCAUUGCACUCCGGGUGUGCUGACGCCUGCGAUGUCUCCAAAUGCGGGAUACUCAACUGCAUAAUUUGUGAUAGUGGGGGACUGCGUUCGCGCUCUCCCCUG